rnacentral:rRNA from 1 species
UGGGGAAUAUUGGACAAUGGGCGCAAGCCUGAUCCAGCCAUGCCGCGUGGGUGAUGAAGGCCUUAGGGUUGUAAAGCCCUUUCGGCGGGGCAGAUAAUGACGGUACCCGCAGAAGAAGCCCCGGCUAACUUCGUGCCAGCAGCCGCGGUAAUACGAAGGGGGCUAGCGUUGCUCGGAAUUACUGGGCGUAAAGCGCACGUAGGCGGCUUGUUAAGUCGGGGGUGAAAUCCCGGAGCUCAACUCCGGAACUGCCUUCGAUACUGGCAAGCUCGAGUCCGGGAGAGGUGAGUGGAACUGCGAGUGUAGAGGUGAAAUUCGUAGAUAUUCGCAAGAACACCAGUGGCGAAGGCGGCUCACUGGCCCGGUACUGACGCUGAGGUGCGAAAGCGUGGGGAGCAAACA